rnacentral:misc_RNA from 1 species
GAUGAAGAACGUAGCGAAAUGCGAUAAGUAAUGCGAAUUGCAGAAUUCAGUGAAUCAUCGAAUCUUUGAACGCACAUUGCGCCCGCCAGUAUUCUGGCGGGCAUGCCUGUCUGAGCGUCGUUUCGACCCUCGCGCCCGGCUUCUGUCGGGGGCGGUGUUGGGGAUCGGCCACACCCUUCAGUGGGAGGCCGGCCCCUAAAUUCAGUGGCGACCACGCUGUAGCCUCCCCUGCGUAGUACUAAAACCACCUCGCAGGCGGAGAGCGGUGCGGCCCGCCGUAAAACCCCCCAACUUUUACAAGGUCGACCUCAGAUCAGGUAGUAAUACCCGCUGAACUUAAGCAUAUCAAUAAGCGGAGGA